rnacentral:rRNA from 1 species
CACGGGGAGGUAGUGACGAAAAAUAACAAUACAAGACUCACAUCCGAGGCCUUGUAAUUGGAAUGAGUACACUUUAAAUCCUUUAACAAGGAUCAAUUGGAGGGCAAGUCUGGUGCCAGCAGCCGCGGUAAUUCCAGCUCCAAUAGCGUAUAUUAAAGUUGUUGCGGUUAAAACGUUCGUAGUUGAACUUGUGUCUCGCACGGGCAGUUACCAAGGACUAGUUUACUAAUCCGGUAUCAUGUCUUAUCUUUACAUUUUUUCCGAUUUGUGAAAAGUGCGUAGACGUAUUAUCGGCGUGUUCGCUCUCGUAGCGUUCACAUCAGCUCAUUUCAUUGAUCUUCACCGAUUGAUGUUGUGAGCCGAUACUAAUUACUUUGAACAAAUUAGAGUGCUUCAAGCAGGCUUCAAUGCCUAAAUAUUCUGUGCAUGGAAUAAUGAAAUAGGACAUCUGUUCUACUUUCAUUGGUUUUUUAGACCAAGAUGUAAUGAUUAAUGGAAGCAGUUGGGGGCAUUAGUAUUACAACGCGAGAGGUGAAAUUCUUAGACCGUUGUAAGACUGACUAAAGCGAAAGCAUUUGCCAAAGAUGUUUUCAUUUAAUCAAGAACGAAAGUUAGAGGUUCGAAGGCGAUCAGAUACCGCCCUAGUUCUAACCAUAAACGAUGCCAGCUAGCAAUUGAGUGUAGCUACUACUAUGGCUCUUUCAGUCGCUUCUCGGGAAACCAAAGCUUUUGGGCUCCGGGGGAAGUAUGGUUGCAAAGCUGAAACUUAAAGGAAUUGACGGAAGGGCACCACCAGGAGUGGAGCCUGCGGCUUAAUUUGACUCAACACGGGAAAACUUACCAGGUCCGAACAUAAAUGAGUAAGACAGAUUGAUA